rnacentral:hammerhead_ribozyme from 1 species
AUCCAGCUGACGAGUUCCAAAUAGGACAUAAUGAGUUCAUCAUGGAU